UAUUAUUUUUUAUUAUAUUGAUUUUAUAUAUUAGGUAGGUGCCCAUUCUGUUCCUAUCUUCAGAAGUUAUUUAUACCUAUGCAAUACCUUCGCUUAGGUUAAAGAAUGGAAUACUAGUCUUGCAUCAAAUAUAUUUUACAUAUCCAUUCGAUGUUUAUCACCAGAAGUUAGUUCUACCUUUGCAGUACCUCUGCUCUACAUACCUCCUCGCUGGUUAAAGAAAGGAAUAUAAAUCUCAUAUCAAGUUGGUGUAAAAAUUUAGUUCAAUAAAUUAAGAAUUUGUAAACGUUAUCAAAAUUUUGAGUGGAGCAAUUGUUUUUCUGGUUUAGCAUGAGUAUGAAUCUGAUAUCAAUUGGAUGUACAAAGAUAGUUUACUACUUAAAGAACCUAUCAGUAAACCAACUGAUUAUUAAACAGUUUUUAAUGGGAAUAAAAACAAAUUUUUAAAAGA
rnacentral:lncRNA from 1 species